GACGAACGCUGGCGGCGUGCCUAAUACAUGCAAGUAGAACGCUGAAGGAGGAGCUUGCUUCUCUGGAUGAGUUGCGAACGGGUGAGUAACGCGUAGGUAACCUGCCUGGUAGCGGGGGAUAACUAUUGGAAACGAUAGCUAAUACCGCAUAAUAGUAGAUGUUGCAUGACAUUUGCUUAAAAGGUGCAAUUGCAUCACUACCAGAUGGACCUGCGUUGUAUUAGCUAGUUGGUGAGGUAACGGCUCACCAAGGCAACGAUACAUAGCCGACCUGAGAGGGUGAUCGGCCACACUGGGACGGAGACACGGCACAGACUCCUACGGGAGGCAGCAGUAGGGAAUCUUCGGCAAUGGACGGAAGUCUGACCGAGCAACGCCGCGUGAGUGAAGAAGGGUUUCGGAUCGUAAAGCUCUGUUGUAAGAGAAGAACGAGUGUGAGAGUGGAAAGUUCACACUGUGACGGUAUCUUACCAGAAAGGGACGGCUAACUACGUG
rnacentral:rRNA from 1 species